GUGCCAGCAGCCGCGGUAAUACGUAGGUGGCAAGCGUUAUCCGGAAUUAUUGGGCGUAAAGCGCGCGCAGGUGGUUUCUUAAGUCUGAUGUGAAAGCCCACGGCUCAACCGCGGAGGGUCAUUGGAAACUGGGAGACUUGAGUGCAGAAGAGGAAAGUGGAAUUCCAUGUGUAGCGGUGAAAAGUGUAGGGAUAUGGAGGAACACCAGUGGCGAAGGCGUCUUUCUGGUCUGGAACUGACACUGAGGCG
rnacentral:rRNA from 1 species